UACGUAGGGUGCAAGCGUUGUCCGGAAUUAUUGGGCGUAAAGAGCUCGUAGGCGGUUCGGUAAGUCGGGUGUGAAAACUUUGGGCUCAACCCAAAGCCUGCACCCGAUACUGCUGUGACUUGAGUCCGGUAGGGGAGUGGGGAAUUCCUGGUGUAGCGGUGGAAUGCGCAGAUAUCAGGAGGAACACCGGUGGCGAAGGCGCCACUCUGGGCCGGUACUGACGCUGAGGAGCGAAAGCGUGGGGAGCGAACAGG
rnacentral:rRNA from 1 species